rnacentral:rRNA from 1 species
AUUGAACGCUAGCGGGAGGCUUAACACAUGCAAGUCGAGCGAGCGGCGGACGGGUGAGUAAUGUAUGGGAAACUGCCUGAUGGAGGGGGAUAACUACUGGAAAAGGUAGCUAAUACCGCAUACCAUUAGAGCGGCCGAGAUGGGAUUAGCUAGUGGGUGGGGUAAUGGCUCACCUAGGCGACGAUCCCUAGCUGGUCUGAGAGGAUGACCAGCUACACUGGGACUUAGACACGGCCCAGACUCCUACGGGAGGCAGCAGUGGGGAAUAUUUCACAAUGGGCGCAAGCCUGAUGCAGCCAUGCCGCGUGUAUGAAGAAGGCCUUCGGGUUGUAAAGCACUUUCAGUGAGGAGGCGUUACUCACAGAAGAAGCACCGGCUAACUCCGUGCCAGCCGCCGCGGUAAUUC